UUUAGGGUUAUCGCCAAAACCAAAAACAACACAACCUCUCACCAAAACCCCCCCAAUCUCUCCAUAGCCGUUCUCUAUCUCUCUCUGUCCGAAAUUCAAACCCUAAAACCAAAAUGAGAAAAGGAGCCAAACGCAAGACCCGGUCCGCCUCGACGGAGGAGCCCACCACCACCACAGCCAAGCCCAAAGCCACCGCCACACGCGCCAAGCGCGUCAAGGCCACGCAGCCGGAGCCGGAGUACGUGGAGGAGCAGCGCAACCUUCAGGAUCUAUGGAAGGCGCCGUUCCCGAUCGGAACCGAGCUCGAUCUCCUCGACUCGCUCUACAAAUACGACUGGGACUUCUCGAAUCUCGAGAAGGAAUUCGAAGAAGAAGGCGGCAAAUUCCACGGCAUCGGCGACAACAAGGUCUACCUCUUCGCGCAGACGGAGACGCGGAACCAGUGGGACCUGGUCCUGAUCCCGACGCUCGUCGCGGUCGUGGCGCCGCGGCCGCCGUCGGAUGAGAUCGCGAUUCGGUCGGUGCAGAAAGAGCAGGACGAGAAGGUCGUGGUGCCGAUGAGGUCGAUGAAGAUGGAUUGGAUCCCCUACAUUCCUCUGGAGCAGAGAGAAGGGUGGAAUUCGGAGCGAGCUUCGAAAUCGAAAGCGAAAUCGGGACCGCAUUUGCCGCCGAUUUUCGUGCUGGGAUGCACGCAGAGGAAGGCGAGCUUGAAGCAGAUGAAGGAGGACCGUUGGAUGAAGUUCCAGUACUGUAUGCCCUACUUGCUGAACCCGAAUGAGGAGGAGAAGGAGCAGAUCACUGUGGUGGAUGUGCUCUUCCCGCAGGAGCCGAAGGCGCCGCUGUUCGUGCAGUUUGAUUGGGACAUGGACGAGGUGGAGGAGUACACUGAUGAGCUGAUCGCCGCCGAGGAGUUGAGUGCGGAGCAGAAGGAGGAGUUCAUGGUGUUUUUGAAGGAGGAGGUGAAGAAGGCGAAGAGGAAGAAUAGGGAGGAGAGGGAGGCGAAGAAGAAGCUCAUGGAGGAUCCAAAGUUCCAGGAGGCCAAAGCUUAUUUUGAGAAUUUAAGGAUUUAUAAGGUGUAUCCGGCACAAUCGCCGAGCACUCCUGUGGUGGAGAUGAAGACUAAGUAUAUCAAUUACUACUACGGACAAGCGCACGAGAUUAUAUGAGCUUGAGAUGGGGAAGUAGGUGCCUGGCUUUUGGCCUGAUGAGGUUUAUGUUUAGAAGGUGUCUGUGUUACCAGAUGACCGGCUAUGGAAAUGCGGAUCACUUCUGAAUUCAGGUACUGGUAGACUGUAUCCCUACCUUAACGCCCUUAGAAGUUCCUCUUCAUGACCUUGACCUGUGUAGAUGAUAAUCAGGCCUGCUUACAUGACAUUGGAUUUGAUCCUUUUCAGCGCAAUGCAACUAUACUACUGAACUAUUUGUGGAACCUUGCUUGGUUUUGUUGGUAGUCUAUGCCCAACAGGUUCCGGAGGUGGUGGAGUUUAGGAAGUAUGUUCGAGUUCUUCUUCCGCCACAACCAGUACAAUUUAUGUUUAAAAAUGGUAACAAGUAUAUGCUAGAUGAAGUGUGUGCUUGUUAGGUCGUGUACCUGAUCUUGUGAAGAAAACUAGGAGACAUCAAAUUAUCCCAAGCAUCAAAAUAUUUGAUACAUUCCCAAAAGUCCUCCAUCAGAUAUGUAGCGAAGGCUUGUUUCUCGAGAGCAUUCCCUUGUGGGUGCCCAAGUGCUUUUGCCUUUGUUAAGGCUCAAGUGUUAGGUGCUGUUUCUUCUGAGGCUUGUUUCUCGAGAGCAUUCUCCAUGGGUGCCUUAGUGCUUUCGCCUUUGUUCAGGCUCGAGUGUUUAUGCUGUUUCUUUCCUGGAUCGCUGUUCUAAUCCAUCUGGUGUUGUUCAGCUUCCUUCCCCUGAAUUGCUGAUGUAAAAAACUUUGUUGAAGAAUGAAUUAGACUGCUUUGUGAUUGAUGAGAGGUGUGAGCGAUAAACACUUUGUCUCUGUAUUAUCUAGAUCUUUACAGUAUUGAUACAACUCAGAUGAAAUAAGCCUGGGAAGACAAUGCUACACAUUUGAAGUCAAUUCACAGGACAGCAAUGACUUCUUGAAUAGUUCUUGUAUGUUCUAUACUUGAAGCCUUAGAGGAGUAGGAUCUAAUCUGAUUUAUGGACAUAAAAUCA